rnacentral:rRNA from 1 species
CCUACGCGAGGCAGCAGUGGGGGAUAUUGCACAAUGGGGGAAACCCUGAUGCAGCGACGCCGCGUGGGCGAAGAAGUAUCUCGGUAUGUAAAGCCCUAUCAGCAGGGAAGAAGAAAUGACGGUACCUGAGUAAGAAGCACCGGCUAAAUACGUGCCAGCAGCCGCGGUAAUACGUAUGGUGCAAGCGUUAUCCGGAUUUACUGGGUGGAAAGGGAGCGUAGACGGCGAUGCAAGCCAGAUGUGAAAGCCCGGGGCUCAACCCCCGGACUGCAUUUGGAACUAUGUGGCUGGAGUGUCGGAGAGGCAGGCGGAAUUCCUGGUGUAGCAGUGAAAUGCGUAGAUAUUAGGAGGAACACCAGUGGCGAAGGCGGCCUGCUGGACGAUGACUGACGUUGAGGCUCGAAGGCGUGGGGAGCAAACAGGAUUAGAUACCCGGGUAGUC